rnacentral:rRNA from 1 species
CCUCUUGUUCGGGAUAACUGCUGGAAAUGGCAGCUAAUACCGGAUAAGCUCCCCCAAUUGUAUGGGGAGGAAAGGAGGCCUCUUCAUGAAAGCUUCCGCGAGGGGAUGAGUCCGCGUCCCAUUAGCUAGUUGGUGAGGUAACGGCCCACCAAGGCAACGAUGGGUAGCCGGUCUAAGAGGAUGACCGGCCACACUGGAACUGAAACACGGUCCAGACUCCUACGGGAGGCAGCAGUGGGGAAUAUUGCGCAAUGGACGAAAGUCUGACGCAGCGACGCCGCGUGAGGGAUGAAGGUUCUCGGAUCGUAAACCUCUGUCAGGAGGGAAGAAAGCGCAUGGCGCCAAUCUGUCAUGCGUUGACGGUACCUCCAAAGGAAGCGCCGGCUAACUCCGUGCCAGCAGCCGCGGUAAUACGGAGGGCGCGAGCGUUAAUCGGAAUUACUGGGCGUAAAGCGCGCGUAGGCUGUUGUGUAAGUUGGGGGUGAAAUCCC